UACGGAGGGGGCUAGCGUUGUUCGGAAUUACUGGGCGUAAAGCGCACGUAGGCGGCUUUGCAAGUUAGAGGUGAAAGCCCGGGGCUCAACUCCGGAAUUGCCUUUAAAACUGCAUCGCUAGAAUUGUGGAGAGGUAAGUGGAAUUCCGAGUGUAGAGGUGAAAUUCGUAGAUAUUCGGAAGAACACCAGUGGCGAAGGCGGCUCGCUGGGCUCUACCUGACGCUGAGGCGCGAAAGCGUGGGGAGCGAACCGG
rnacentral:rRNA from 1 species